rnacentral:rRNA from 1 species
GACGAACGCUGGCGGCGUGCCUAAUACAUGCAAGUAGAACGCUGAAGAGAGGAGCUUGCUCUUCUUGGAUGAGUUGCGAACGGGUGAGUAACGCGUAGGUAACCUGCCUUGUAGCGGGGGAUAACUAUUGGAAACGAUAGCUAAUACCGCAUAACAAUGGAUGACACAUGUCAUUUAUUUGAAAGGGGCAAUUGCUCCACUACAAGAUGGACCUGCGUUGUAUUAGCUAGUAGGUGAGGUAAUGGCUCACCUAGGCGACGAUACAUAGCCGACCUGAGAGGGUGAACGGCCACACUGGGACUGAGACACGGCCCAGACUCCUACGGGAGGCAGCAGUAGGGGAUCUUCGGCAACGGGGGCAACCCUGACCGAGCAACGCCGCGUGAGUGAAGAAGGUUUUCGGAUCGUAAAGCUCUGUUGUAAGUCAAGAACGGGUGUGAGAGUGGAAAGUUCACACUGUGACGGUAGCUUACCAGAAAGGGACGGCUAACUACGUG